rnacentral:rRNA from 1 species
AAUCCAUAGGUUAAUGAGGCGAACCGGGGGAACUGAAACAUCUAAGUACCCCGAGGAAAAGAAAUCAACCGAGAUUCCCCCAGUAGCGGCGAGCGAACGGGGAGGAGCCCAGAGCCUGAAUCAGCAUGUGUGUUAGUGGAAGCGUCUGGAAAGGCGCGCGAUACAGGGUGACAGCCCCGUACACAAAAGCGCAUGUGCUGUGAGCUCGAUGAGUAGGGCGGGACACGUGGUAUCCUGUCUGAAUAUGGGGGGACCAUCCUCCAAGGCUAAAUACUCCUGACUGACCGAUAGUGAACCAGUACCGUGAGGGAAAGGCGAAAAGAACCCCGGCGAGGGGAGUGAAAAAGAACCUGAAACCGUGUACGUACAAGCAGUGGGAGCACCCUUUGGGGUGUGACUGCGUACCUUUUGUAUA